rnacentral:rRNA from 1 species
AACCAGCUAUGCUGCGGUGGGAGGAUGAAGGUCCUCUGGAUUGUAAACUUUUUAUAUGGGACGAAAAGGGUCUUUAAGAUCAAUUGACGGCACCAUAUGAAGGGCACCCACAAUCUUCCGUGCCAGUAGCCGCGGCAUUACGGAGGGGUGCAAAAGCGUUAUCCGGACUAACCACUCAAAAAAAAGGGUGGCGUAGGUACAAAGUCAGCAGGAAAUCUCCGUCAUUAACUUGGAAACUGCCAUUGAUACUAUUAAUCUUGAAUAUUGUGGAGGUCAGCGGAAUAUGUCAUGUAGCGGUGAAAUGCUUAGAUAUGAGCAUAGAACACCAAUUCGGUGAAGGCAGCUGGCUACUCAUAUAUUGACACUGAGGCACGAAAGCGUGGGGACCAAACAGGAUUAGAUACCCUUGGUAGUCCACGCCCUAAACUAUGGAUACUUGACAUUUGCGAUACACUGUAAGUGUCUGAGGAAAGCAUUAAGUGUCCCACCUGGAAGUAAUAGAUCGCAAGAUUGAAACUCAAAGGAAUUGGUGGGGGUCCGCACAAGCGGUGGAGCAUGAGGUUUAAGGCGGAUGAUACGCGCAGGAACCUUACCCGGGCUAGAAUGCUGGGAGACCGUGGGCCAGUGCCCACUUUGUAGCAAUACACUGCCAGUAAGGUGCUGCAUGGCUGUCGUCAGCUCGUGCCGGGAGGUGUUGCUGGGGGGGUCCCGCAACGAGCGCAACCUCAUCACUGCUAGUUGCCAUCAGGUAACGCUGGGAACCUAGUGAAACUGCCGUCGUAAGACGGGAGGAAGGAGGGGAUGAUGGUCUUGUCAUCAUGGCCUUUAUGCCCAGGGCUACACACGUGCUACAAUGGGGCGUAUAAAGGGCCGCAACAUAGCGAUAUGAAGCUAAUCCCAAAAACGCCUCUCAGUUCAGAUUGGAGUCUGCAACUCGACUCCAUGAAGCUGGAAUCGCUAGUAAACGUAGAUCAGCAACGCUACGGGUGAAUACGUUCCCGGACCUUGGUACACACCGCCCGUCAAGCCAUGGUAGCCGGGUGUACCUAAAGUCGGUAAACCGCAAGGAGCCGCCUAGGUAAAAAUCAGACUGGGGCUAAGUCGUAACAAGCGUGUAGCCGUAUCGGAAGGUGCGGUUGGAAUACCUCCCUU